GAAUCACCUUCUCAUUGGAUUCUCCCCCAAAGCGCCCUGGGCUCUUUCCUAAAGGAACAGCGUCCCGCCAUUCGGGUCCCGGGACGGAGCCUCACCUCGUCGUCUCCGCGCUGAUCGGUGGAUUCCGGCGGCGAGUGCGUGGUAACUUCUCAAUAGUCUGCCUUUCUUCAUGAAUGGA